rnacentral:rRNA from 1 species
AGCGAACGCUGGCGGCAGGCCUAACACAUGCAAGUCGAACGAACCUUUCGGGGUUAGUGGCGGACGGGUGAGUAACACGUUGGAACGUGCCUUUAGGUUCGGAAUAACUCAGGGAAACUUGUGCUAAUACCGAAUGUGCCCUUCCGUGGGAAGAUUUAUCGCCUUUAGAGCGGCCCGCGUCUGAUUAGCUAGUUGGUUGAGGUAAUGGCUCACCAAGGCGACGAUCAGUAGCUGGUCUGAGAGGAUGAUCAGCCACAUUGGGACUGAGACACGGCCCAAACUCCUACGGGAGGCAGCAGUGGGGGAUCUUGCGAAAUGGGCGAAAGGCUGACGGAGCCAUGACGGGUGAAUGAUGAAGGUCUGAGGAUUGUAAAAUUAUUUCAUCGGGGACGAUAAUGACGGUACCCGGAGAAGAAGCCCCGGCUAACUUCGUG